rnacentral:rRNA from 1 species
CAGUCGCCGCGGGAAUACGUAGGUGGCAAGCGUUGUCCGGAAUUAUUGGGCGUAAAGGGCUCGCAGGCGGUUUCUUAAGUCUGAUGUGAAAGCCCCCGGCUCAACCGGGGAGGGUCAUUGGAAACUGGGAAACUUGAGUGCAGAAGAGGAGAGUGGAAUUCCACGUGUAGCGGUGAAAUGCGUAGAGAUGUGGAGGAACACCAGUGGCGAAGGCGACUCUCUGGUCUGUAACUGACGCUGAAGAGCGAAAGCGUGGGGAGCGAACAGGAUUAGAUACCCCAGUAGUCCCUGUCUCUUAUAC